rnacentral:piRNA from 1 species
UCAGACUGUAUGUUGCAGGUGGAUGAGCCU